rnacentral:rRNA from 1 species
GAUGAACGCUGGCGGCGUGCCUAAUACAUGCAAGUCGAGCGAACGGACGAGAAGCUUGCUUCUCUGAUGUUAGCGGCGGACGGGUGAGUAACACGUGGAUAACCUACCUAUAAGACUGGGAUAACUUCGGGAAACCGGAGCUAAUACCGGAUGAUAUUUUGAACCGCAUGGUUCAAAAGUGAAAGACGGUCUUGCUGUCACUUAUAGAUGGAUCCGCGCUGCAUUAGCUAGUUGGUAAGGUAACGGAUUACCAAGGCAACGAUGCAUAGCCGACCUGAGAGGGGGAUCGGCCACACUGGAACUGAGACACGGUCCAGACUCCUACGGGAGGCAGCAGUAGGGAAUCUUCCGCAAUGGGCGAAAGCCUGACGGAGCAACGCCGCGUGAGUGAUGAAGGUCUUCGGAUCGUAAAACUCUGUUAUUAGGGAAGAAAAUAUGUGUAAGUAACUGUGCACAUCUUGACGGUACCUAAUCAGAAAGCCACGGCUAACUACGU